UCGAGGCCAGCGUGGUCUACAAAGUGAGUUCCAGGACAGCCAGGGCUAUACAGAGAAACCCUGUCCCGAAAAACCAAAAAACAAAAAAAAAAAACCAGGAAGAUUAAAACUUAAGAGAAUCAUUUGGGAAUUCUUUGAAAACAUAUUUCAAAAAUCUGGAAAAUCUAAAAGAAAUGGAUAGAUUCCUAGGCAUAUUGAUGGACCAGCCUAACCCAUUUUAAGAUUAGAAGCCAUCUUGUUAACAAAGUCAAAAUAAAUUCAUUCCUGUUUUCCGUAAACUUGGGUUUGACCAUUCCUUGGCUCAGUUUCUGGAAUUUGGCAUGUUCCAUACACUAUACACCUAUCUCCACCCUGACUAGAGGUUCUGCCAAGUUCCUAUGUAAUCUAGCCUUGCAGAUCGUAAACUAUAUAAAUCCUGCUUCCUUCUAUGUUCAAUGCUAUUCUUUCAAUUCCCAAAUUAGGGAGACAGCCCUGUCUGACAGAAAAUAAAGCUUGCUUAACUUGAAAAGGUUGAACAAUGAAGGUAACAAUACAACCUAUUAAAAUUAACUCCAUAAGAUACAAUUUAAAUAUAUCCAUGAUUAAAGCAUCAAUAAAAGUUCCAGGAAUAGUCAAGUCCAAUGGAUUCACUGCUGAAUCCCACUAAUGCUUAAAGGAAGGCUAAUAAUACCAGCGCACCUCAAACUAGGUUAAACAGCAGAAGAGGAAGGAAGGAACACUACCUGACUCAUUCUGGGGAGCCAGCCUCACCCUGAUAACAAGUCAUACAGCAUACAACAAACAUGAAAACCAUAGCCCAACCCCUCUGAUCAACAUGAAAAUAAAAAUUCUCCAUACAUAUUGUAAGUUGAAUAGAACACAACUAAGUCAGUUUCAUUCCAAGAUUUCCAGGAAGGUCCCACAUAGGUAAAUCAAUAAAUACAGGACACAGCCUCAAGAACAGAAAUUCUAUCUCAGUAGACAAUCAGAGGAGACACAGUAUCUCCGCUAGUAUCAGGAAUAGAGACAAAAGUGUCCACUCUUUCCACUCUUAUUCAAUAUGGUAUUGUGAGUGUAAGCCAGAGCAACGAGACAAGAAAAAUAACACAGACAAAAAAGGGAGAAGUCAUAUGAUCUCUAUUCACAGACUACACAACUCCAUACUUAAAAGACUCUAAAGAUCUGACCAGAAAACUCUUUAACUAUGAUAAACACUUUCAUCAAAAUAUAUUAGCUCAACAAACCAACAAAACAAUAGCUUUUCUAUAAAGCAAUAAACUUAUC
ensembl:antisense 2510017J16Rik RIKEN cDNA 2510017J16 gene